CCCGGGAUAAACUGGGCCUUGACCAGGCUCAGAAUGUAGCCAUCCAUUUUCUUGCUGGAUGAAGGAUGGGAAGCAGACCACAGACUGCUUGGGGACGGUCUGGGAAUGUUAACCACAAGGGGCUGAGAUACAACUCAAGAGUGCAGAAUUCUGUCCUUGUGCUCAAUCACUCACCUGAGCUAGGCCGACUGUCUGUCUCCAGGUGCUCUUCAGAUGUCUUUUCUACAUCCAGUCUCAGGUCACUUAUCUGCUUGUCAAGCUCUUGCAACUGAUUCAACAAACCAGCAUCUCUUCGCCUCAAACAGUUCUGAUUAGGAAGAAACAAAGGAAACAUGAACAUACAGGGGUGACAAAAGAACCAGAAAGUCUACUCUAAGGAUUCAAAUUACCCAUCUGAAGAGUUCACUAAACUUAGAAAACCAAAAUUUUACUGGAUGACCUGAAGUAACGAAAAACUUCGAGAAUUCAAGAAUAUGUCCUAUGUUUAAUUCCACUUUCUCACAUUUUGUGGUGAU
rnacentral:lncRNA from 1 species